UUUCAAUGCGGUCCUCCCUGUUUUCCAUCUGUGUUGCACGUUACUCUUGGGGGUCCUCGUUUUCUUUUGGGAGAAGAAGGUGUCUGUGUUGGACCCGGAGCGCAUCCCGGUCUGUUGUGUGAUGCCAUUCCCAGCCAGCCAGCCCCGCGCCCUCGGUGGAGAUGACGGCAGUGUUUGAAGGCGAUGUUUUUCCCCGGGACUGCGUGGCUGGCGAGAUGGUAACGCCGAGGCGGGGAGCAGCUUCACAGCUCGCUGCCCUCACCGCAGCCACCGCCUGAGCAGCGCUGUGCCACAGCCGUGCCACAGCCAGGCGUUCUCCCCGUGCCCGUGCUUCGCUGCCCGGCGUGGGGAGCGGCACUCCCACUCCCGGGGGCUCCUCGGGGACCCACCGCCUGCCGGCUUCCCUGCGCCAUCCUCCGGGGCGGCCUGUCCCCCCGUGCACGUGCCUGGGAAAGUGCCAAGAUUACAGUCAAAAGGGUCACCAAUGAAGAUUUGUUCAUGCAGCUAAGCAAACUGUUCAUGGAGAAAGCUCUAAACGAAACAGGGAAUGAAUACCACGUAACCAGACAGCCGUAAACCUUCUGCUGCAGACCACUGAUAGGAGUCUAUAGACCACCAGUUUGGGAAACCUCUGCUUUACACUUCUAAAUGAUUCGACAUUUGUUCCCUCUGAUGACACCACGAAUCUGGGAAUGAAGAACUUCUUAGAGCUGAUUGGAAAUGGCAUUACGGAGCUGAAACUUAACUGGAGGAAAUAUAUCUCCUGAAGAAGAAAAUAUAAUGCACUAUAAGGAUCUGACUUCUGGUGAAAAAUUCAAGCCUAGAGAAAACUUGUCCGCUUUGUUAGGAAGAAUGGGUUGGACAAUUUUCUUCAGUUCCAAAGGAUAUCUGAAUGCCAUGCUGAGCUUAAUCUCUGCAGCAUGCUCUGUGCUUCUCAUCUCUUCCUGAUGCACUGCAUGGUUAUCCUGAAGGGGACGAUAAAGAAACUGGCCACCAAGAUGGUAAUCACUAGUGGAAAUGAAGAAGAUAAAGGCAGUCAAGAAAAGGAAAGCAAAGAAGAAACCAUCUUGGCAAUGCUUGGAAUUAUUGGGACAAUUCUGAACCUCAUUGUGAUCAUUUUUGUGUAUAUUUACACAACGUUGUAAACUAGAAGGCAUGCAAAUAGACCAGAUAAAAUGGCCAUUAAGAAUGACAACAAACAUUGCUGACUAUUGAGAAGUUCUUUAAUCAGAAUUGACUCUGUAUUAUAUUAACACAUCAUAAAAGCACUGCCUGCAGGCAGCGAAGACUGAAGCACAAUUAAUUUAACAAGACUUUUUCACACAGUAAUAAGCUUAACUCUUCUAUCCUGCCCUCUCCCUUUCGGUUUGGUUUUCAGUUUGGGGGAGAAUGACUGCAGUUAUGUAAGCUGUAGCUUUGAAGAAAUCCACCAGGGAUAUGUUGUUUUAACACAAUUUAAAAAAAAAAAAAAAAGAAAAGAAAAAAUAGAAAGAAAAAAAAGAAAAUAAAGAAACUGUACACUAUAUAUAAUUAGAAAUGUUUGCUGUAUACCCGCAAAGACUGAACUCAGAGAUAGCUUCAUAGCACAGAUCACAUGUCUGUUAGGUCAAAUGGUUUUUUUCUCUUGGUUUUUGCUUUUACUUACAUUGAAUCUGACAAGCCUUUUAUUUAGAAUGAACAUAUGGUGCAAUCAUGAAAAAAACAAUUCCAUUGAGCAAGGUCUGCCUAAACCUGAUAAAAUGUUGGGAGAAAUACAUUACAUGGUUAUUUUUCCUUUCUCUUUUGCUUAACAUCUGUGUCUGUUCAUACCAAUGUUUAUAAAUAUAUAUUUUUAAUAAAUGUGCUAUAUUUUUAGCAUGAACCAAA